rnacentral:rRNA from 1 species
UAAGCGAGGUAGGAGAAGAGUUGGCAAAUCCGCUCUUUAAUCUGAAGACGUGAUGUGGACUGAAAAUAAGUAGGGAAGCACGUGAGCUGACUGUCAAGAAAAGCCGCUAUUGUUUGCAGGAUACCCGUACCGUAAACCGACACAGGUGGAUGAGGAGAGAAUCCUAAGGCCGACGGGAGAAGCAUUGUUAAGGAACUCGGCAAAAUGACUCCGUAACUUCGGGAGAAGGAGUGCCAGUAAGAUGGCCGCAGAGAAUUGGCCCAAGCAACUGUUUAGCAAAAACACAGGUCUAUGCAAAACCGAAAGGUGAGGUAUAUGGGCUGACGCCUGCCCGGUGCUGGAAGGUUAAGGGGAGAGGUUAGCGCAAGCGAAGCUUUGAACUUAAGCCCCAGUAAACGGCGGCCGCAACAAUAACGGUCCUAAGGUAGCGAAAUUCCUUGUCGGGUAAGUUCCGACCCGCACGAAAGGCGUAAUGAUUUGGGCACUGUCUCAACAAUGCACCCGGUGAAAUUGAAAUACCAGUGAAGAUGCUGGUUACCUGCGCCAGGACGGAAAGACCCCAUGGAGCUUUACUCCAGCUUGAUACUGGGAUUCGGUAUUGCAUGUACAGGAUAGGUGGGAGGCUAGGAAAUGGUAACGCCAGUUGCCAUGGAGCCAAUGUUGGGAUACCACCCUUGCAGUACUGGGUUUCUAACCAGCAGCCGUGAUCCGGCUGGGGGACAAUGUCAGGUGGGGAGUUUGACUGGGGCGGUCGCCUCCGAAAGGGUAUCGGAGGCGCUCAAAGGUUCCCUCAGAAUGGUUGGAAACCAUUCGAAGAGUGCAAAGGCAGAAGGGAGCUUGACUGCGACACCGACGGGUGGAGCAGGUACGAAAGUAGGACUUAGUGAUCCGGUGGUAUAAAGUGGGAUUGCCAUCGCUCAACGGAUAAAAGCUACCCUGGGAUAACAGGCUUAUCACUCCCAAGAGUUCACAUCGACGGAGUGGUUUGGCACCUCGAUGUCGGCUCAUCGCAUCCUGGGGCUGAAGUAGGUCCCAAGGGUUGGGCUGUUCGCCCAUUAAAGCGGUACGCGAGCUGGGUUCAGAACGUCGUGAGACAGUUCGGUCCCUAUCCGGCGUGGGCGUAAGAUAUUUGAGAGGAGCUGUCCUUAGUACGAGAGGACCGGGAUGGACUGGCCGCUGGUGUAUCUGUUGUCUUACCAAUGGCAUAGCAGAGUAGCCAAGCCGGGAAGGGAUAAACGCUGAAGGCAUCUAAGCGUGAAGCCCCCCUCAAGAUGUGAUAUCUCAUAACGUCAAGUUAGUAAGACCCCUUGAAGACGACGAGGUAGAUAGGGCAGAGGUGGAAGUGUGGUAACACAUGGAGCUGACUGUUACUAAUAGGUCGAGGGCAUAACCG